rnacentral:rRNA from 1 species
UACGUAGGGUGCGAGCGUUGUCCGGAAUUAUUGGGCGUAAAGGGCUCGUAGGCGGUUUGUCGCGUCGGGAGUGAAAACCAGGUGCUUAACACCUGGCUUGCUUUCGAUACGGGCAGACUAGAGUGCGGUAGGGGAGACUGGAAUUCCUGGUGUAGCGGUGAAAUGCGCAGAUAUCAGGAGGAACACCAAUAGCGAAGGCAGCUCGCUGGGACGGUACUGACGCUGAGGCGCGAAAGCGUGGGGAGCGAACAGG